CCGCCGCAUCCCCGACACGCACCAGCGGAGCCAAAGGGCGCGCGAGGCGAUGGGGUUCGCGUGUCUGCGCGUUUGCAGAGCUGCCGGACGUCCCACGCCCAAGGGUUGAAGACAGCAGAACCCCAGCUGUGGGGAGCCGGAGUGCAUCCUAACGUUAGUCAAGGCUGCCAAGGAGGCUGUGCAACGUGUUCAGAUUACAAUGGAUGUUUGUCAUGUAAGCCCAGACUAUUUUUUGCUCUGGAAAGAAUUGGCAUGAAGCAGAUUGGAGUAUGUCUCUCUUCAUGUCCAAGUGGAUAUUAUGGAACUCGAUAUCCAGAUAUAAAUAAGUGUACAAAAUGCAAAGCUGACUGUGAUACCUGUUUCAACAAAAAUUUCUGCACCAAAUGUAAAAGCGGAUUUUACUUACACCUUGGAAAGUGCCUUGACAAUUGCCCAGAAGGGUUGGAAGCCAACAACCAUACUAUGGAGUGUGUCAAUAUUGUGCACUGUGAGGUCAGUGAAUGGAAUCCUUGGAGUCCAUGCAUGA
rnacentral:sRNA from 1 species